CCCUCUGUUUGAAGUAGAAGCCAUUUCACAUUAGAUGUUGCCUAUGUUCCAGUGGCAUAUAAAAUCUCACGUUAAACAAGACAUCAUUUUGUUGUACGUCUUUCAUCAUUACAGUUGGGUAAGAAGGUUGGGGAGAUUUUGUCUCUCACCAUCUCUCAGGAAGUUGGAUGUCGACAUAUUAACCCCUCCCCUCUGUUACCAAGGGCGAGAGAUAUUUGGCAGCAAGAAAGAAAUGUGUGAUUGGAAACUUUAGGCACAUUGCAGACAUGGACGGAUGAUUGCCACAGAACAAAAGGAGGCGGGAAGCCAGAGCGGCGUCGCUUUUCCACUGGGGAUAGAAACCCAGACAGUCCUGUGGUGGCUUCUUCUUGGAUCUCUGAAUGAUGGUGAGAUCAACCUCUGGGCCAGCCAAGUAUGGAACUCGGUCCAAAACAACGAACUUCUUUUGCUUCAUGUCAGUUCAGCUUCCUACAAACAAAAUUAAAGCAGCAUUGGGUUAGCAAUUGGAAAUGCAUAUCAAAGAGAAGAAGCUUAACUCAAAACAGAUUUU